CGGAGCUUUCUGGAAGGAGGUGCAGCCGUUCACACAGCAUGGAAACAACCACCAAAAUCCCUAUUUGUGUGCCUUGUGAAUGAAUCUGAAGACCUGAUCCAAACCUGAUUAGUAUACUGGAAAAAAUAAUUUAAAAACUCCUUACUGACUUGGCUGGGCGUUUCCUCUUGAGGUUUGGACCUUGGCCUAAUUUAGCAGUGAUGUUUUUCUCCUAAGUAUCAGAUAGUGCUUUUCAUACUUGAUAUUCUUUGUGUGUUCCUUUCAGUCUGGUGAAAGUACAUUCCCAUUUACAGGGCAAAAGUUUGAGUUCUUCUAAUAGUGACUUUUUGUAAUUGUCAUCUGUGGAUGUAAUGUUUUUAGAUAAGUUGUUCUCCCAGUACGAAAAUGUCAUUGUGGUUUUCAAAAACAUCACAAUUUUAAAUUUGCAAUUCAAUAAAUCAUUUCAGUCUUUGUGUGCUGCAAGUCACCGGGCAAGUGAUCUUUAAUGCCUUAUGCAUUAAAAAGCAAAGAGAACUGAGAACAGAGUCUCAAAUUCACAACUUGAUAAGGUUUGGAACAUGAACAACACAGCUUAAAUGUGAAGUUUAGGGCCCAGAAAACCUUGACUGUAAUGCUAUUAUCUUGCUUCAAAAGCUGUAGAAAUCAGGAAAGGCUUGCACAUGAAAAGCAGUUAACAAGGAAGAAGCUUCUUCAGCUGAUGCCUCAUUUGAGAGCCUGAAUCUACUAAUUCUCCUCCUGACUAUCUUCAGCUGUUUCAUGCUGUAUUUCAGAGGGUGGUUUCUUGCUGUUUCCAUCAGGUGUGCCCCUGCUUUUUUUGAGGAGGAGGAAAAGUAAAGUAUCAGUCAGACUGCAGAAUGCUCCUUAUGCUAUGAAGUUGUGCAUCUCCAUAUGUAAGAUUUGGAAGUCCCUGGAUGGUGUGCAGAAGUCUGUUUUGCCAGAACAAAGGGAAUGCUGUUUCUCUGCAUUAUUUCAAAUAAAUCCAGAGUCCCUGUUUGCUACCAGUCAUCCUCCAGCACUAGAGAGGUGUUAUGAUCUAGUUAUUAAAAUUAUUAGAAAUGCCUCUGCUCAAUUUAAAGUGCAAAUGAGACCAUAUGCCAAAGUUAAUAGUAUGGAUUUUGUAUAGUAAAUAUGAGAGAGGGAGAAAGAAAUAGAAAAAGUGGUGGGUGGAGAGAAAGAGUGACGGAGACAGAUUAAAUAGAAAAAUCACCACUCUGUGGAUCCCAGUGGUGUCCCAUUGAUCCUCUCCAUCUGGUCUUGGUGGUGAGGGUCCCCCAAAACCACAGAGUUCAAUGGGUUAAUAUACAUUUGGGCUGGGUGGGAAGGCCAAA
rnacentral:lncRNA from 1 species